rnacentral:rRNA from 1 species
GACGAACGCUGGCGGCGUGCUUAACACAUGCAAGUCGAACGGAAAGGCCCUGCUUUUGUGGGGUGCUCGAGUGGCGAACGGGUGAGUAACACGUGAGUAACCUGCCCUUGACUUUGGGAUAACUUCAGGAAACUGGGGCUAAUACCGGAUAGGAGCUCCUGCUGCAUGGUGGGGGUUGGAAAGUUUCGGCGGUUGGGGAUGGACUCGCGGCUUAUCAGCUUGUUGGUGGGGUAGUGGCUUACCAAGGCUUUGACGGGUAGCCGGCCUGAGAGGGUGACCGGCCACCUUGGGACUGCGAGACGGCGCAGACGCCUACGGGAGGCAGCAGUGGGGAAUAUUGCACAAUGGGCGGAAGCCUGAUGCAGCAACGCUGCGUGCGGGAUGACGGCCUUCGGGUUGUAAACCGCUUUCGCCUGUGACGAAGCGUGCGUGACGGUAAUGGGUAAAGAAGCACCGGCUAACUACGUG